rnacentral:misc_RNA from 1 species
GGAGGGGGGAGGGGGUGUGGUGCCUACAUCACAGCAGAAACAUGUUAACGUGUCAUGAGCAGUGACUCGAGCUCUUGGAAUGGCAUGCCGAAGGGAAUGGAAUUCAUCAUGCUCCAAAAGACGAGGCAUGUAGAUCACUUGGGAAUUUAAAGGCUUCGUCACUUAAAUGUCGCAAAACAAAACACACGAGCAUGAGAAAGCCACAUGCCAUUGCAUCAACAACUUAUACAACACUCAAAUCUCCAAUGACUACCAAAGCAAACGAAGUAUGAGCAAUACUUCAGAGAACACAAUUUCUCUUAAUUGGUUCAUCACAUAUGAGCGAACCCUAUACAAAUCAAAUUAAAAGAAUAUAGAAACUACCAUGAAGGAAAUGCAGAUUCUAUUAUAACAAUAUCAUACUACCGUUAAUAGAGAUAUAGGAGUGAUGUGCGAUAGUAAAUUGAAUUAAGAAAUUCAAAAUUGCACAUGGUUGAGCUGAUAUCAAAGCAUGCAACUUUAUAGCAUUUCUUCUUCCUGAAUAGUGUGAACGAGAGAGUAUAUAUAUAUCUUAAUGAAAUUUAUAACUAUCAUUUCCCGCCUCCAGCAAUCUCUCCAACUUUGGUACACAAGUCCUUGCGUUUGGAUUUAGCACCUGCUUGGUUACAGCAUAAUGGAAAGCAUUCUUUUCUCCUGAAGCAAUUGUGUGGUCACCCGUUAGUGGCAGUGUUUCAGCAACAGUAGUAAGGAAAAAAAAAUGUCCUGCCUGGAGAUCCUUGGGGCAAGUACAUCUUGUACAAGGAACAAAUUGUCUUCAGUUUCACAAGCAGGAUCACUAACCCCCAUCCAAUUCCAAGGACCUCUGAUGUGAUGGAGAUGGAACAACAAUAGCUGCACUUCGAUUCACUGAAAGUUGCUGGUCUGAGAAUUCACUCCUCAUUGAACGGUAAAUUUCAGACCCAGAGCCAAUGGAGAAGCCAGAACUUUCUUUUCGUGUCCUUGAACUCACUGGAUUCCUAUUGACUUCGGUGGUUCCAUCCGUAGCACCAGCACCUGGACUAGAUGAGUUUUUGACGUGCACAAUAAUAAUUGUAAUAUCAUCUGUCCGAGUUUCAUGCUCCAACCAUAGUUUAUAUGACUCUCCUGCAAUGGCUGCACAUGCAUCUCGGGGAUCGGUAUAUCGUGCCACCAUAUCAACAACGGCUUGGCUUGAGAGGAACUCAAAAACUCCAUCACUUGCAACCACAAAGAACAAAUGAUUGGGCGUGAGCUGAACAAUAGAAACCUCUGGAUCAGCAAUAACCCCGAUUGUCUCAGCUGUACUAUCCCCUACACUUCUUGUAAAUGCGGUCCCAGGAUACAUCCCAUUCUGCACCCACAACCUUGGAGGAUCACCCCCUUGACUUUCCUCAUUGUCCCACGUCUGUAUAUCAGGAUCCGCAUACCCUUCCACUUGAUCAACACUCAGAACUCUAGCCCCACAUAACUUCACCCUCUCAUACUCAUCUUUCCUAAAUGGGGUUUGAUCAUUGGACAAAUUCUCAGCUAUAAUUCUAUUCCCAUUUUUAACGGCAAUUACUGCUCUGGAAUCACCCACAUUGGCAACAUAAAUCUUAUCUCCAAUAACAAGAACCGUUAUUGCAGUGGUACCACUCAUCGUAUCAUCAAUUUUACUACUAUGUAACUCAGAGUUCGUCCUUGAAAAUGCAGAACUAUAAGCUUUAGCAGGGUCAUUCAACAACGUGGGAUCAUUUGAUAAUAUCUCAACUAACCUAUCCUUCACGAAAUUUGAACAUUCAGCACCAUAUUGACCAUGCCCAUCAAAUACACCAAAGAAAUGGAUAUUAGGAUUACCGUCAAUUUGAGUUCUAAUGCAGAAACUGUCUUGAUUUUCCUUAUCUGGCGAGUCUGGGUAGUAACCUCGCUGAGUCAGAACAGAGUACUGCAAUUUUAAGUUAUGGGAAGGGACAGGAAUAGUCUCCAGCGAUCUCUGAGUGAGCAAGUGUUUAUUACCAACAUGAACCGCUUCAGGGUGGUUCCUCGAAUCACCGUCUGAUGAUGACGGGUAACGACUACAACACUUGCCGUGGACACAACCCAUAUUUACGAUAGGCAAUCUAGGGGUUAAAAGGAGAAAACUUCGAACUGCGGACUUGUUUGCAAAAUGUCCUAAAAGAAACCGGAAACUAUUCAGGUUUGGGUGUAAAAAUAGCUGAGAUGAAGUUAUUGAAGAAAGUAGACAAUUGGGCAUCUUCUGAUUUCGACAAUGAAAGUCCUAAAAGAGUGAUUUUGUGGAGAAAUCAUGUUAGAGAAAGGGAACGAAGAAAAGAAAGAAAGAUGGAACAAACAAACCCUAAAAGCAAAAUAACACCCAAAACUCAGUUUUUAAAGAGCAAUUUUGCUUCUCAAAUGAUGAUGGUCCACAUCUGGGUUACACCCAAGAAGACGUUUUCCACGAGAAUCGUUCUAGAUUAGAAUAACCUGUACAGAAGAAACGAAUAUUUCCUUGAGAAGAAAAUAAUAAAUCCAAAGCUAUUAAGAAGCAAAAGUUAGAAACAUUUUAAGUCCCAGAUACAGAGUGGGGAUCUUUUCAGAUGGGGUUUCCAAAGAACAACAAAUGUGGGUAUUUUGGGGCACCAGAUCAGGGCUCAACAAGAAGAAGAAGGAAGAAAGCAAGCACCAAUAUUAAAGAUUGAAGAAAAAGAAAAACACAAGAAAGUAAAAAAGAAGAUGAAAAUGAAGGAUUUGAUGAUGACUCAAAUGGAGGGUUUUCUGUCUACAAGAAAAAGAGAGAGAGAGAUUCGAUGUGCGCAUGGGUGGAUUUUGUUUUGUACAGAGACAAGAAACCCGACUUCCAAGAAAACAACACAACAGGGAGCGAGAGAGAAACGAAUGCCAAGAAACUUUUAAAAUGGUUUACCAAAGACUAUUAUGCAUUAAUCUCUAUCCUAAUAUUUUGCCUUUGUCUUUUUGUUUGUAUUCGUACCUAACGAGACCAGACGCCAG